rnacentral:rRNA from 1 species
GUUUAUUUGAUAGUACCUUACUACAUGGAUACCUGUGGUAAUUCUAGAGCUAAUACAUGCUAAAAACCUCGACUUCGGAAGGGGUGUAUUUAUUAGAUAAUAAAAAACCAACGCCCUUCGGGGCUCCUUGGUGAAUCAUAAUAACUAAGCGAAUCGCAUGGCCUUGCGCCGGCGAUGGUUCAUUCAAAUUUCUGCCCUAUCAACUUUCGAUGGUAGGAUAGUGGCCUACCAUGGUGGCAACGGGUAACGGGGAAUUAGGGUUCGAUUCCGGAGAGGGAGCCUGAGAAACGGCUACCACAUCCAAGGAAGGCAGCAGGCGCGCAAAUUACCCAAUCCCGACACGGGGAGGUAGUGACAAUAAAUACUGAUACGGGGCUCUUUUGGGUCUCGUAAUUGGAAUGAGUACAAUCUAAAUCCCUUAACGAGGAACAAUUGGAGGGCAAGUCUGGUGCCAGCAGCCGCGGUAAUUCCAGCUCCAAUAGCGUAUAUUAAAGUUGUUGCAGUUAAAAAGCUCGUAGUUGAACCUUGGGUCUGGCUGGCCGGUCCGCCUCACCGCGAGUACUGGUCCGGCUGGACCUUUCCUUCUGGGGAACCUCAUGGCCUUCACUGGCUGUGGGGGGAACCAGGACUUUUACUGUGAAAAAAUUAGAGUGUUCAAAGCAGGCCUUUGCUCGAAUACAUUAGCAUGGAAUAAUAGAAUAGGACGUGCGGUUCUAUUUUGUUGGUUUCUAGGACCGCCGUAAUGAUUAAUAGGGAUAGUCGGGGGCGUCAGUAUUCAGCUGUCAGAGGUGAAAUUCUUGGAUUUGCUGAAGACUAACUACUGCGAAAGCAUUCGCCAAGGAUGUUUUCAUUAAUCAGGGAACGAAAGUUAGGGGAUCGAAGACGAUCAGAUACCGUCGUAGUCUUAACCAUAAACUAUGCCGACUAGGGAUCGGGCGGUGUUUCUAUAAUGACCCGCUCGGC